rnacentral:rRNA from 1 species
CCGCGGUAAUACCGGCGGCUCGAGUGGUGGCCACGUUUAUUGGGCUUAAAGCGUUCGUAGCUGGGUUAUUAAGUCCCUUGGGAAAUCCGACAGCUUAACGUGUCGGGCGUCUAAGAGAUACUGGUAAUCUUGGAACCGGGAGAGGUGAGGGGUACUUCGGGGGUAGGAGUGAAAUCCUGUAAUCCUCGAGGGACCACCUGUGGCGAAGGCGCCUCACCAGAACGGCUUCGACAGUGAGGGACGAAAGCUGGGGGAGCAAACCGGAUUAGAUACCCGGGUAGUCCCAGCCGUAAACGAUGUGCGUUAGGUGUAUCGGUGACCACGAGUCACCGAGGUGCCGAAGGGAAACCGUGAAACGUACCGCCUGGGAAGUACGGUCGCAAGGCUGAAACUUAAAGGAAUUGGCGGGGGAGCACCACAACAGGUGGAGCCUUGCGGUUUAAUUGGACUCAACGCCGGAAAUCUCACCGGAUAAGACAGCAGAAUGAUUGCCGGGCUGAAGACUCUGCAUGACUAGCUGAGGGGAGGUGCAUGG